AUUGAACGCUGGCGGCAGGCCUAACACAUGCAAGUAGGUCGAGCGGCGGCCGGGUGAGUAAUGUAUGGGGAUCUGCCUGCUGGCGGGGGAUAACUACUGGAACCGGUAGCUAAUACCGCAUACCAUCAGAUGAACCCAUAUGGGAUUAGCUAGUAGGUGAGGUAACGGCUUACCUAGGCGACGCUCCCUAGCUGGUAUGAGAGGAUGAUCAGCCACACUGGGACUGAGACACGGCCCAGACUCCUACGGGAGGCAGCAGUGGGGAGUAUUGCACAAUGGGCGCAAGCCUGAUGCAGCCAUGACGCGUGAUUGAAGAAGGCCUUCGGGUUAUAAAGCACUUACAGCGAGGAGGCGUUACGCGCAUAAGAAGCACCGGGUAACUCCGGGCCAGCAGCCGCGGUAAUAC
rnacentral:rRNA from 1 species